UGGGGAAUCUUAGACAAUGGGCGCAAGCCUGAUCUAGCCAUGCCGCGUGAGCGAUGAAGGCCUUAGGGUUGUAAAGCUCUUUCGUGGGGGAAGAUAAUGACUGUACCCCAAGAAGAAGCCCCGGCUAACUCCGUGCCAGCAGCCGCGGUAAUACGGAGGGGGCUAGCGUUGUUCGGAAUUACUGGGCGUAAAGCGCACGUAGGCGGACCAGAAAGUCAGGGGUGAAAUCCCGGGGCUCAACCCCGGAACUGCCUUUGAAACUCCUGGUCUUGAGGUCGAGAGAGGUGGGUGGAAUUCCGAGUGUAGAGGUGAAAUUCGUAGAUAUUCGGAGGAACACCAGUGGCGAAGGCGGCCCACUGGCUCGAUACUGACGCUGAGGUGCGAAAGCGUGGGGAGCAAACA
rnacentral:rRNA from 1 species